rnacentral:sRNA from 1 species
GCUGGGCAUGGUGGUGCGCGCCUGUAAUCCCAGCGGCUCAGGAAGCUGAGGCAGGAGGAUCACAAGUUCACAGCUGGCCUUAGCAACUUAGCAAGGCCCUAAGCAACUCAGCAAGAUCUUGUCUCAA